rnacentral:misc_RNA from 1 species
CUUCUCUCUCUAUACAGUCUACUCCUUCAUCUCUCUCUCCGAAAAACCUUAAAAAAAAAAAAAAACAACAAUAGUGUUAACAAGUAAAAUUUGUAUUCCUUUGAAAUUAGCAAACUCAUGUGUUUCACACCCAGGAAAAGUGAUGGCCAGCCUUAGAAUGAAAGAGAAACAUUCAGAAUUCAGAAAUCAGAGCAGAGGGUGCUGAUAUUAUUACAGACCCCCCAAAAAGUUUUGGUUCAACAUAAAAAAUCUGGACUUCUUAAUUUGAAUGCCAGCUUAAUUAUAUAGCUUAUUUUCCAGGAGAAUUAUAAUUUGAAAUCUUAGUGAAUCAAAAGUUCUUUGAUUAUUCCAUAUUUUAUUAAUUCAUGUUAAGCUUAUUCAAAAAAUUUUAGUGUCUU